GGGCCGUUAGCUCAGCUGGUAGAGCGCUUCAAUGGCAUUGAAGAGGUCGCUGGUUCAAGUCCAGUACGGUCCA
rnacentral:tRNA from 1 species